AGCGUUUGGUGGUCGCAGCGCAGUGAAAAUCAGACUCCGUUUUGGCCAGAACAGUCUCUGGCUAAAACAAGAAGAGGAGAACUUUGAAAACGGGCGCGAACAAGUGAGCAGCAGCCGAGUGAAGUAGCCAGCCAAGCCAAAGCAGAGUGCAAAUGAAAAAGUGAAAACAAAUUGUUUAAAUUAAAGAUUUCACACAAAGAGAGAAAUAAAGAACGUGAAUCAAUCAGUUGAAAUAAAUCGAGGAACGGGAAUGAAGGAUAUCGGACCGAGAUUGAAAAUUGCCGGAAAGUUGAAUCGAGAAGGAUAAACUUUCGGACCGCUAUGCACAGGACCCGUGCGGGUCCGCCGACUGAGUGCGGCCACAGAUAGAAACCAACGAGGUACACACAGAGAUACCAUCGCCAGAUAUACAGAUACA